CGAGAAUUGUCCUAAAACACAACCUCAACAUUUGGAACAACCCCAAGAAUCAACUUGCACUGAAGUGGUCGUUGGUGAUUCAGUGGAGAAGCUCACACGAAGAAUUAUAGAAAUAGAAGAGCAGCCUGGAAAUGAGCGAUUGGCGGUAAAGACUGUGGUUGAGAAGGUAAAGCCGAGUGUUGUGAAGGUGAAGCCCAGAAACUUUUGGUGUUUGUGUUAACUACGAG